rnacentral:rRNA from 1 species
UACAGAGGGUGCGAGCGUUGUCCGGAAUCACUGGGCGUAAAGGGCGCGUAGGUGGCGACCCAAGUCCGUGGUGAAAGCUCGUCGCUUAACGACGAGUCGGCCACGGAGACUGGGUGGCUCGAGCACUGUAGGGGCAGAUGGAAUUCCGGGUGUAGCGGUGGAAUGCGUAGAGAUCCGGAAGAACACCAGAGGCGAAGGCGGCAACCUGGCUCGUAACUGACGCUCAUACACGACAGCAUGGGGAGCGAACGGG